UGUACUUAGGGCAUGAGCAUAAUGCUUGUU
rnacentral:piRNA from 1 species